rnacentral:rRNA from 1 species
UACGUAGGGUGCGAGCGUUGUCCGGAAUUAUUGGGCGUAAAGGGCUCGUAGGCGGUCUGUCACGUCGGGAGUGAAAACUCGGGGCUUAACCCCGAGCCUGCUUCCGAUACGGGCAGACUAGAGGUAUGCAGGGGAGAACGGAAUUCCUGGUGUAGCGGUGAAAUGCGCAGAUAUCAGGAGGAACACCGGUGGCGAAGGCGGUUCUCUGGGCAUGUCCUGACGCUGAGGAGCGAAAGUGUGGGGAGCGAACAGG